rnacentral:rRNA from 1 species
UUCCAGAGUUUGAUCCUGGCUCAGAUUGAACGCUGGCGGCAGGCCUAACACAUGCAAGUCGAACGGUAACAGGUAGCAGCUUGCUGCUUCGCUGACGAGUGGCGGACGGGUGAGUAAUGUCUGGGGAUCUGCCUGAUGGAGGGGGAUAACUACUGGAAACGGUAGCUAAUACCGCAUAACGUCGCAAGACCAAAGAGGGGGACCUUCGGGCCUCUUGCCAUCAGAUGAACCCAGAUGGGAUUAGCUAGUAGGUGGGGUAACGGCUCACCUAGGCGACGAUCCCUAGCUGGUCUGAGAGGAUGACCAGCCACACUGGAACUGAGACACGGUCCAGACUCCUACGGGAGGCAGCAGUGGGGAAUAUUGCACAAUGGGCGCAAGCCUGAUGCAGCCAUGCCGCGUGUAUGAAGAAGGCCUUCGGGUUGUAAAGUACUUUCAGCGGGGAGGAAGGGGAAGUGGUUAAUAACCAUUUUCAUUGACGUUACCCGCAGAAGAAGCACCGGCUAACUCCGUGCCAGCGGCCGCGGUAAUACGGAGGGUGCAAGCGUUAAUCGGAAUUACUGGGCGUAAAGCGCACGCAGGCGGUCUGUCAAGUCGGAUGUGAAAUCCCCGGGCUCAACCUGGGAACUGCAUCCGAAACUGGCAGGCUUGAGUCUUGUAGAGGGGGUAGAAUUCCAGGUGUAGCGGUGAAAUGCGUAGAGAUCUGGAGGAAUACCGGUGGCGAAGGCGGCCCCCUGGACAAAGACUGACGCUCAGGUGCGAAAGCGUGGGGAGCAAACAGGAUUAGAUACCCUGGUAGUCCACGCCGUAAACGAUGUCGACUUGGAGGUUGUGCCCUUGAGGCGUGGCUUCCGGAGCUAACGCG